rnacentral:pre_miRNA from 1 species
UCUUAGGGAUAAGCAAAGAGUAUUUUCUUGAAAUAGAAUCCGUUCCUGGUGAAGAUGUUGUGAG